rnacentral:rRNA from 1 species
AGAGUUUGAUCAUGGCUCAGAACGAACGCUGGCGGCCGGCCUAACACAUGCAAGUCGAGCGAGAAGCCACCUUCGGGUGGCGGACAGCGGCGGACGGGUGAGUAAUGCGUGGGAAUAUGCCCUUUGGUGCGGGAUAGCCCUUGGAAACGAGGAGUAAUACCGCAUGUGCCCUACGGGGGAAAGAUUUAUCGCCAAAGGAUUAGCCCACGUUGGAUUAGCUGGUUGGUGAGGUAAAGGCUCACCAAGGCGACGAUCUAUAGCUGGUUUGAGAGGAUGAUCAGCCACACUGGGACUGAGACACGGCCCAGACUCCUACGGGAGGCAGCAGUGGGGAAUAUUAGACAAUGGGGGCAACCCUGAUCUAGCCAUGCCGCGUGAGUGAAGAAGGCCCUAGGGUUGUAAAGCUCUUUCAGAUGUGAGGAUGAUGACAGUAACAUCAGAAGAAGCCCCGGCUAACUUCGUGCCAGCAGCCGCGGUAAUACGAAGGGGGCAAGCGUUGUUCGGAAUUACUGGGCGUAAAGAGCGCGUACGCGGACUGGCCA